UAAAAUAAUAUCAGUUGUUGUAUAUAUAUGUUGUCGCAAUUUAAAGAACGGGGUGAGAUCAAGAUCAGCUUAAUGAACUUUCAAUUACAUGCAACAAAGCUUGGACCUAAAUCAUGCAUGACUGCCUGUAAAUAUUGAGCCACAAAAGCUCUAUAUGACAUCCAAGAUCUAGCCUGAUUAAGAAUACACAUCAGAUUAAGUGCAAUCAACUUUAGCACAUGAGCCACAAAGCUCCAUACUAAAAUGGGAUCAAGUCUUGCAAAACACGACAUUAUAAGCACCUCACAGCAUUAAGGAGAGAAAUCAUAGGCCACAUAACCAUCCAACAAAUACAGAAACAGACUCAAAAUACAAGAGACUAGUUAGAUUAGCACCUUUAAAUUCCUAUAGAACCAAUGUUCAUAUCAUAUUGAUGGGUAAUUAACUGCUUAAGAAACAUUAUCUAAACUUAAUUCAUGUGGACAAUUGGAUCCAUGCCAUAAGCAUCUACAUUUACUUUCUCCGCUAUAAAACCAAAUAAAGAUGGACCAUAGCGACUAGACCGAUGAGAGCGAAAGUGGAACUC
rnacentral:lncRNA from 1 species